rnacentral:rRNA from 1 species
GACGAACGCUGGCGGCGUGCUUAACACAUGCAAGUCGAACGGUAAGGCCCUUCGGGGUACACGAGUGGCGAACGGGUGAGUAACACGUGGGUGAUCUGCCCUGCACUUCGGGAUAAGCCUGGGAAACUGGGUCUAAUACCGGAUAGGACCACUGCCUGCAUGGGUGGUGGUGGAAAGCUUUUGGGGGGUGGGAUGGGUCCGCGGCCUAUCAGCUUGUUGGGGGGGUGAUGGCCGACCAAGGCGACGACGGGUAGCCGGCCUGAGAGGGUGACCGGCCACACUGGGACUGAGAUACGGCCCAGACUCCUACGGGAGGCAGCAGUGGGGAAUAUUGCACAAUGGGCGCAAGCCUGAUGCAGCGACGCCGCGUGAGGGAUGACGGCCUUCGGGUUGUAAACCUCUUUCAGCACCGACGAAGCGCAAGUGACGGUAGGUGCAGAAGAAGGACCGGCCAACUACGUGCCAGCAGCCGCCGCAG